rnacentral:rRNA from 1 species
UCCAGUCGUGCGAAGUGAGAGUGGCUUACCGGACUGAGCGAGCCAGCGAGGUAAAACAAGCAAACGAGAGGCACGAGGGGCAGCUACCACUCGCGGCCGCCUGCAACGCGAGCUCGCGGUGGCGGUGGCGGGACGCCCCGCGCCCCUGGCCCCUCAAAGGCGGCGACUACAUCGAGGGCAGGGUGGGAGCGCGCUGUACCUCGACUCGGGUCAGUCAAGCAGCGACCCGUGGUACCCGAGCGAGGGUGCCUUCGAGCUGCUCGAGGACCGCUGGCCGGUGACCCGAGACGCUCCCCGGCACCAGUACCUACCCUAGUUCGUGGACCGGCGGCUGGAGGUGCUCGACGUCUCGGAGGACGACUUGGAGAGCUUGCGCGUCCUGGGAGGGCACCGCCGCCCCACGACCUGCUUCCUCCACGCGCUCGACAGGAUGCUGCACCUCAUGACGCGACUGGCUAAGCAGGUGCGGCGGCUCUGUGCGUCCGCUGGACGAGCCGCAUUUCGGUCGCAGCGAGCCGACUUCUAAUCGGCGGAAGGCUCCUCCGCCUCCACCGAGGGCACCUAGUUGCCGUCCCAGGACCUCAAGUCCCGGGCUCGCGUCCUCCGGUCGCUCUCCAUGACCUCCAUGGUCAAGCUACUAACGCGGAGGCCAGGACUUAUGAGAGGACGACGACCGGCACGACACGCGCGCCUCGGACCACUAGUACAUCCGUACCUUCCGGGACAUCCACUCGAGGUGGCCGCCGACUGACUACCUCUCCUCGUCGAGUUCCACCAUCGUUAGCAGCCACAACGUCCGUAACCAUUUUGGUGCGAACGGGACUUUAACAACCCAUUCGAGGUCCCUGUCAAGCUCACGCGGCGGAAACACGCCUGUCGUGUUUUCGGGUUAUACUCCCCCUAGUAGUCGUCAUAUGAGAGUGUUCAAGCAGGCGUGGUUGACGGCCUGGGACGGCUGUACGUGGUGGAGUAGGCGCUAGAGUCACUUGUAGAUGUUCUAUUCUCCAUGAAGUAACAUUAACUACUGAACACCCGAUGUAGUCACACCCUACAAGAAUCAGCACGAAAAGGUCUCCCAUCAAGUACGUCAUCUUAUCAUUGAUGUUGACUUUAAUAUCUUCAUCGAGCCCGUACGACACCAAUAGAGGGACUGGUAUAAAAAGUCUACCUUAAAGAAUCACUCCUACUGAGUGUUUUUGAUAACGAGGUUUGUUAAGAGAGUCUUUUAGUUUCAGGAGUUGUAAAGCUAGUGCAAAAUGGAGUAUAAAACUCUUUUACACCACCCAACGGUGAUCGUUAGUAAUACCAUCGGUCGGAAAAUCGUUCGGCUGGACUCUUUGAUCUAGUUGACCCGAAACACGUCUCAAGAGAACCAAGUUUAUACGCCAACGUCCGUGUAGGACGGUACCUUUCCAAAUACCUUGUUAAUAACUUGUAAUCCAAGCUAACAGAAGGUGUAAUAAACUUCUGAACGGACGAAAUAGAAUCAUGAACAGGUCUCCCGAUGUAUAAGAACUUCCUACUAAACCACUUCGUUACCGAUCGACUCCUAAAAUAUACACGUGUUAAUCCCUUUCUGUACCUCCUUCAACGAUCUUCGAUAAAACUACUCGAACAGUCAUACCCGGACUAGGUUCAAUACCUAUAGUUGAUGUCAAUACUCGAUAACAGAAUAAGUCAGGUGGUAUACCAAGAACUAAAAUAGUGUACGUUCAGAUAACUUCUCUUGAAGUAGUGACAUCACCUAAUAAGAGUUUGUCGUUACGAUGAAGGACUAUUUCAAGCGGCUAACAGCGAGGUCAAACCGUCACGUUGUAUACGUUGAUGUGGUCGUUCAUGGUCUAAUAGUGUUCAAGCUAGUGAGAAGAAAAAACCUGACAAAUUGACGUACGGAAGUAAUUACCACAAAUUCAAAGAAGCUCAAGAUUUGGAAGCAGAACCCCCGCUAGAACCUUUAUACUCAAACCUGGAAUGUUCUUAAUCACUUGACAAAGCUGACUCUAUAAACGUCCAGUGUACAUCACGGUAACACUUCAAUGGUCUAGUCUAACUUCGAUACUUUGUAAACCUUUGUGACCUUUAUUUAAGUUCUCAUACGCGGUAAGGAGGCCUGUAACAAGCGGAAGGCUCGAACAACGUAGAGACAGAAGCUCCACCUUGUUUAGAUGGACUGUCCUAACCGGUAUAUUCUAGAGAUGCAUGUGAUUUCAUAAAACUGGAACCACUAUUGAGGCUUCUGUUAAAUACCUCGGAACCGCUCGACUGUUUGGACGCCCUAGAUGUAAAGUGUAUAAGAUCUAAUGGUAGAUCACUUGUAAACUUCUCUUUAGACUAUCGAGACCGGAGAAGUGAACUCUUUGAAACAUUGGAGUUUAGACAGUGAGACCGAGGACCACGACGUCCGUACCAACAAGAGAAACUACCGAGCUCGCCGUACAGGAGAGGAGGUCAGAAGGAACUCUCCGAACUCGACAACGGCGGGUAUACGUAGAAAAGGUCUAAAGGGUUCACCUAACCUGUUGAGGCGUUUUAGACGUAAAACUUUCAACGACAAUUUCUUGACGACUGCUUACUAUAACUAUAGGAGUGUCCUAAUGGGAGGGAGUGUCAGGAGAGCAACACCCAGGUCUGACGGGGACUCCCUCUUUAGUAGAAGUUGCUUCCCCGCGAGGGUCAAGAGUUCAUAAAGCUCAAAUCCACACUGCAUGAAACAGACCGAAAGUACCGUCCUCGUUACGGGUUAGAAGCCUCCUAGUUCGAUCGAAAGUUAUGACUAUAGUCCCUCUUCAUGUCGUUAUACGAACGGCCUUAGCUCGUGGAAAAUUUGGAGGUCCUGCAGUGACCUGUUUAACCCCAUCAAUGACUUAGACUGUCUUCCCGACGACUUAGUCGUAAGUUCCUUCGGUAAUCGUUCGUAGGUUACAGGAGAUCUAGAUCGUAUGUUACCCACCUAGGUCAACUCUUUCAUAAGGCAGGAAGUCUCUUUGUCAUAAACUCCGCUCCUUCUCCAAGUAGUCUACUUUGCGUACCCCCAGAUCUCUUUCGGCUUCUACGCUAGUUUGUACGAUUCUCUCCAUUUUGAAGAAGGCGACCCGACCUAGACCUGGUGCUACAGUUCCGGAUGUCUUGGAGAACAAGUUCGCGAAAAAAGGGAGUUUUCGCGCAGUCUUGUGCGAAGAAAACGUAAUCUUCUUUCCGGUGGUUUUACACCGUUUCGAUGUGUUGGUGGUUCCCACCGUGACUGGCUUGACUUUUGUUCUUUCUCGUCGUUUUUGAUGUCUGGGGCGAUUUAAUACAUGUUUCCUUUUUGGUUGUCGUUUCGAGAGUAAGUUCACGAAGUCAACCCUUAUUCUGUCUCCUGCGUUUUAACAAGUCAUGGUGAAGAAGUAGUAGUUUAAACGUUUCGUAACUUCAAUCAGUAGUCCAUCGAUGACUUGCACUUCUCGUCUACAACGGCCUGAGGUACCUUGUCCUCACAGACCUAUCGUCGGUCAGACCCCUCGUUUAACGACGACUCUGACCACACGUGAGAGUCCAGAGAAGAGGGAGUAGCACAAGAGAGAGUAGUCGUUCCGUGGUGCUUCUUCUCGUACGAAGACCCGAGUUGAAUGGACCUCUUCAGUGCCACUACUCGAGUUUGUAGUAGAACUUCGUCCUAUAAGAACGAUUCCAAUUUCUUGUACUUCUUGUUUAACGAGCAAAUUCUUACGUGGAACAACUGAUAAGUCACUUCCUUAGGGUGUAUGAAUUACUCUUUGAACAAAACCUUUUUGCAUAACGUGUAUACGCUUCCCUUAAACUAGUCGUGGUUGUUCUAAGGGAACUACGGCGUAGUUUUCGAAACAGAAUGUCUGUUCUGUAAUAACUCCUUUUAGAGGUAGACCGUAUGAGUGAUGUCCGUCGUGCGGCUUCCUCUAGUUUAAAACAUGAAAGAAACUACGGAGAAGACAGUCGUGUAUUGGACGCCGGAAGACAAGGGCUACGAGUUAGUUAACAAUCGUUAGAUUUCCAAAACAAAUGCGUAAACGUUCUCUUUGAGCGAUAAUGACUCCUCUUUGUCUUCCUUGAUGUCAUGGUCUAACGAGCCGCACGACUUAGAAGGUUAUAAUACCGUGUCUGUGGAAGACUAGGAGGACCUUUACGUAACACGGUUUGGCCGGAACUGUAACACGGGGUCGUUCGUAUAGGAGUACAUGUCGCAGGUUAAAGGAUAGGGCAAGCUCGAUCUGCCCUAUCCCCAAAUAACCGUUUACUCUUGGCAGUCUAGGAGGGUUGGUUCCGACGAGACUGUCUGUGACUCGUGCUGUUACAACCUUCCUGGAGAGGAGGUUCUUCGUUGGUUAAAUGGUUCAUACCACAUCGUUUUCUUUGACUCGCGCUAAGAGCACGACCUGCUAGGGCACGACAUGCUAAAUUGAAACUUAGGUUCCUAGUUUUGGGUAGUAAGUUCCUGGGACAACCCCCACUACAUUGUUUUUUUGAUCUUCCUCGACUUUGGGUUUGAAGUGCUCUUGGAGGACGCCUCACCUCAGGAGUUCCGGGUGGAUUAAACCGUAGACAGGAACUGCCACCCUUGGACAGAAUGGGAAUGGAAGGAUGACAGGAACUCCUCGGAUCAAGAAGAAAAAGACUUCGACACCUCCUACUGGGUGAUGGUCGGUAUCUACCCGAUUCUUAGUGUCCACUUCGAAAAGGACCUUCACUUGAAGUUCGUUCACCCAUAAGGUCGUUACCCUGGUGUUCAACAAUAAAACUCACCCAUGCGGUAAACCUUCUACCUAGCCAUUUAAUGUAUCUUCCACGUUUCGUUGGGUGUAUAAAUCAAUGACGACUACUACACCUAAGAAAUGAUCGGUAUCUCCAGGUCGGAGAUCUACUGGCUUUUUCUUUCCCCCUCUAGCACUUCCAAAUACGAUUACUCGUCUCUUUUUAAUGAACGCUAGGACUUUACUUCCUCGAGUAGCUCUUUUAAGAAAGUUAACCCGUACACAGAAUACUUCAAGACGAUGGACAAUUUAAAUAUUUAUACACCCUAGGACGGAAUAACCGUUAUUUGUCCCUUCCAAUGUCGUAAUUCACAUUACCUGUCGCACCACAACAAUACUGUCUCUUUAAGGCCGUUCGAUGCUGAUAGUUAUAGGGUAUACCCGCAGGGUGACUUAAAAGUUAGGUCAGACGAUUCCCACGACUCAUGUUAGAGUUCGGACGUUUUUCAAGGGGUAGUGCUCUACGGUAGCAAGAUUAUGACUCCGACAUGUCUUACUUCCGAGAACUCUUCUCGUUCCCUUCCUUUUUCCCCUAGAAGAAGUUCAUCUCAUGGCACCCAAGUUCUGCAAUAAGACAAAAGGGUAUCUUUUCUUCAGCACCUUGGUCUAUCGUCGUGACGUCUGGACUUCUUCAAACCUCAUCUGGCUCUCAGGAGUUACGUCGACCUAUGGGCCGACUCUCUUACAUUUUCGUACUUGUUACACGAAAGGACUUUCUUACGAAGGUCCCACGUCUACUACCACGUAUGCGUAGUGACCUGGUAGAUGCAGAUGUAGGAAGACUUUCUACCACGUCAAGUACACUAGGUUCCGUCUCCCUGCGGAGAGUUCAAUGGAGUUGCUAGCUUCUAGCUUCGAUCAACGGAGUUGCUAGACAGCUGAUCUCGAGGAUCAAAGGAAAAAAGUAGAAGAGAAGAUUAUUUCUAGUAAACUUGAAUAAGCGCUUAUAACC